GAUGAACGCUGGCGGCGUGCCUAAUACAUGCAAGUCGAGCGAACAGACGAGGAGCUUGCUCCUUCGACGUUAGCGGCGGACGGGUGAGUAACACGUAGGUAACCUACCUAUAAGACUGGGAUAACUUCGGGAAACCGGAGCUAAUACCGGAUAAUAUUUCGAACCGCAUGGUUCGAUAGUGAAAGAUGGCUUUGCUAUCACUUAUAGAUGGGCCUGCGCCGUAUUAGCUAGUUGGCAAGGUAACGGCUUACCAAGGCAACGAUACGUAGCCGACCUGAGAGGGUGAUCGGCCACACUGGAACUGAGACACGGUCCAGACUCCUACGGGAGGCAGCAGUAGGGAAUCUUCCGCAAUGGGCGAAAGCCUGACGGAGCAACGCCGCGUGAGUGAUGAAGGUCUUCGGAUCGUAAAACUCUGUUAUUAGGGAAGAACAAACGUGUAAGUAACUGUGCACGUCUUGACGGUACCUAAUCAGAAAGCCACGGCUAACUACGUG
rnacentral:rRNA from 1 species